rnacentral:rRNA from 1 species
GACGAACGCUGGCGGCGUGCUUAACACAUGCAAGUCGAACGGAAAGGCCCUGCUUUUGUGGGGUGCUCGAGGGGCGAACGGGUGAGUAACACGGGAGUAACCUGCCCUUGACUGUGGGAUAACUUCAGGAAACUGGGGAUAAUACCGGAUAGGAGCGCCUGAUGCAUGGUGGGGGUUGGAAAGUUUCGGCGGUUGGGGAUGGACUCGCGGCUUAUCAGCUGGUUGGGGGGGUAGUGGCUUACCAAGGGUUUGGCGGGUGGCCGGCAUGGGAGGGUGGACAGCCACAUUGGGACUGAGAUACGGACCAGACUCCUACGGGAGGCAGCAGUGGGGAAUAUUGCACAGUGGGCGGAAGCCUGAUGAAGCAACGCCGCGUGCGGGAUGACGGCCUUCGGGUUGUAAACCGCUUUCGCCUGUGACGAAGCGUGAGUGACGGUAAUGGGUAAAGAAGCACCGGCUAACUACGUG